CUUUAAUCACUGCACUGGAACAUCAUAACCACUGUGGACCCCACGAACUGCCGCAGCUUGGUUGGGGUCUCGCCGUCCUCCACCCACCCUGGACCCAAGACCAGGAUCCAGCUUCCAGUGGGUAAACCUCUCCUAGUCCAGAGAGUGUAGCAGGAACAGGGGACAAACCGCAGCACUUCUAACCCAAUUAUCUCCAAGCACAGAAAAACAUACAAUUUUAUGAAACCCAAGAAAGUACCUUAAAAACACACAAAACCCGUGAUAGCCCUGAUCUGGGUGACCAACAUAUCCAAAAAUCAUCCAGAUCACUUCAGGGGUUCAGGAAUUUCAUGGAAGUCAUAGCUUUGACCGACCGCAAGCAUGGCGGCAUGCCCAAAACAGUUCCAGCGAAAUCAGUGCUAACAGUCGGUCAAGUUCGGUAGUCUUUUACAGGUUUCCCUGCAGGGCCCAUAGUCUGUGGGCAGGAAGCUGGCAAGGAGGCUCCUCCAAGAACUCAUUGUAAACUCACUUGAAAAGGGAAGUUUGUCAUACACUGUAGUCUCAGCAAUGCAGACACUAUCUGCUCUGAGAAUCCACUCCCUCCUCUGGAGGCUGUCACUCACACAUGCAGUCAGACAGACCCCAGAAGACCUUCCCGGAGCGUCCUUACAAUCUGUACAGCGAUGACGUUCGAGUCUCCUCGCUCUCCAUGAAGACGUCGAAGGCACACCAUCAAGCUAAUAAGAUGCUGAUUGGCACAACGCAGGAAGGGGCUGCAGUAAGACCAAUGUGGAAUGGGCUUUACAGUAAAUAAGAAAGAUUUAUUUAACUUUUGGGAGGGAGGGGGGAAUUUAAAUUGAAAGCAAAGGCUGCAAUACAUAUAUGUCUAAUGUCAGUGUUCCUUUCAUUUCUCUGAAAAUGGGAGGCGUUGGCAUUUGGCCUCCAAGAUUGCUGCUUUAACAGGACACUGUGGCACCCAGACCAGACUUGCCUCUUUCUCCAGCGCCGGGCAGGGAGCUCUCCUCCUCCUCUCCGGCUCCUUCUCUCCUCCAGCUCAUUGAAGUGUCCCUGUCCCCCUUAGUCCUGCAAUGUAAAUCAGAUUUUAGAGAAACUGCAAUAAUUACCUUGCAGGACUAAGACUGCCUCCAGUGACUGUCAAUCAGACAGCUACUAAUGGGACUUCCUGCUUGCUAGACAACUUUUGGUCGCCUGACUGAUGCUGGACGUCCUCGUAAUCUGCAUUCCGACAUCCAGCAUCAGUAAAAUCCCCAUAGGAAAGCAUUAUAACAACGCUUUUCUAUGGGGAGGGCCUAAUUUGCAGCGGCGCAUGCACAAUUGCCCCCCUCAAUCGGAUGAUGUCGGAGGAGGCAGUUCGGCGCUAAAAUCAGGUAAGUGUUACAAUGUUUUUCUUAACCCUUGCAGUGCGGUGGGGGGUGGGGAGGGUUACUAUAGUGUAAGGAAUGCAUCUUUGUAUUCCUUACUUUAUAG